AGUGAACGCUGGCGGUAGGCCUAACACAUGCAAGUCGAACGGCAGCACAGUAAGAGCUUGCUCUUACGGGUGGCGAGUGGCGGACGGGUGAGGAAUACAUCGGAAUCUACUUUUUCGUGGGGGAUAACGUAGGGAAACUUACGCUAAUACCGCAUACGACCUACGGGUGAAAGCAGGGGAUCUUCGGACCUUGCGCGAUUGAAUGAGCCGAUGUCGGAUUAGCUAGUUGGCGGGGUAAAGGCCCACCAAGGCGACGAUCCGUAGCUGGUCUGAGAGGAUGAACCGCCACACUGGAACUGAGACACGGUCCCGACUCCUACGGGAGGGAGCAGUGGGGAAUAUUGGACAAUGGGGGGAAGCCUGAUCCAGCCAUACCGCGUGGGUGAAGAAGGCCUUCGGGUUGUAAAGCCCUUUUGUUGGGAAAGAAAAGCAGCAGGUUAAUACCCCGCUGUUCUGACGGUACCCAAAGAAUAAGCACCGGCUAACUUCGUG
rnacentral:rRNA from 1 species